UUAGAACAUCAUAUUCUAUCAGGUCGGGUCAGAGUGUGAUUUCUGACAGUCGAACAUUGACAGCCAAAGAUGAUAGUUCUGAUGAUGAAAGUGAUGAUGAUAAUGACAAUUUUGGUGAACACACUAUCCAGGCAGACCAGGUUUUGUCGGACUAUUCUCUUGAUGUAUGUCCCCCGGGUUUUGACGUGCCAUUACUGGAUGACUUGCUCAAUGUGACAAUCCGUGAACAUGAUGGAGAUGAGCCCACAGAAGAUGUUGGAACCCAACAACAACAACAGCAGCAACAUAAGACGACUCAACCAGAAUACAUCUCUACUGUGGAAGAAGUCAGUCCUGAAGAUGCAAUCAAGAAGGAAAAGUGUAUUGUGUUUACAGACACUCUUAUAGCUUUGAUAACAUCAUUACAUGGGAGUGUUUGUAAACGACAAGGAUGUGGCCGUGUGUUGAGCUAUAAGAAAACAUAUGUUGGAACAUGCCUGGUCGUAUCCUGGGGGUGUAGGUCUGGUCAUGUUGGAGGCAGAUGGGCAGCUCAACCCUAUUGCAACAAGAUUAGAGCAGGCAACCUUGUGCUUGCUUCUGAUUUGUUGUUGUCUGGCAAUUCCUACACCAAGGUGGGGUUGAGUUCAACUUCUAUUAUCUGCAGUAUUUCUCAUCAAUAUUAUUCAAUCAGUAUCAGAAGUUGUACAUCAUCCCUGCCAUUAAUGACUACUGGGAAGAACACAAACAGAAAUGUUGGAAAGAAAGAGAGAACAAAGAGGUUAUAUUGAGUGGUGAUGGAAGAAAUGACUCGCCUGGCCAUAGUGCACAAUAAUGUACUUACAGCUUGGCUGAUACCAAUGAUCGUGCCAUACUGCAAAUGAAUGUGGUUGAUGUCAGAGAAGCUGCUGGUAAGAGCAAUAAUAUGGAGAGGAUUGGGUUUGAAAGAGGGAUGGACACACUGUUUGCAUCACCAAUAGUUAUGAAGGAGGUGGUAACUGAUGGUCAUAUUGAAAUUGCUGCAUUGAUGAAAAGGGAAGAGAAAUAUAAGGAGGUCACACAUCAGAAUGAUGUGUGGCAUGGAGCAAAGAACAUUGCAAAGAAAAUCACUACUGCUGCUAAAUCUAAAGACAAUGCAGAUUUGACCUUUUGGGCACCAUCAAUAAGGAACCAUUUUUGGUAUUGUUCAAAAACAUGUGCUAAUGACUCAAAAAAUCUCAAAGAUAAAUGGAUUGGUAUUUUACACCAUGUUGUUGAUGAGCAUGAGUGGGUGUUGAAGGAAGGUGUAAAUGGUGGAAAAUGUGAACAUGAUCCUCUUAAUUAAAGUGAGAGAAAGAAGCCAUGGCUUAAGAAAGAGUCUUCUGCCCAUAAAGCACUGGCAAAGAUCAUUCUGGACACUCGCUUUUUAAACACUUUGGUGUAUUAUGUUAACUUCAGAAACCAGCUUGCUGCCUUGGACUUUAACCACCACAGAGGCCGAGCACCAGCAACUACAGCUGAUGGGAAAGAAAGGUACGGUCGGAAGUUCAGUAAGCGUACACAACAGUGGUGCCGUGUUCGUGUUCUUGUACCAAAAGAAUUUAGUUACAUUCCUGAACUGAUGCAGAAGGUUUUUAUAAAGAGGAUCACAUCAAAAGGGAAUGUAAACAAAAGACUUGGUAUUCCAAGUAAUGAUCCUAGACAAAUUGCACCCAAUAUUGCCCCUGUUCCUCCUCCAUCAGUACAGACACUUGUCGACACACAUAAAACAAGAUUUUAAUGGUUGUGUGCAAAAUAAAGUUACUUUGGGUAGGUGGAGCUCAUUAGCCAUGGUAGGCAGUGCAGUUCACCUAACAGAAGGAAAACUCUAAUUUCACACCCCCAGACCCUAGGUCAGGCUGUCCAUGUCAGAAUCAUUGAUGUUAUCAUCAUUUCAUUUGUGUUUCCUAGGCAUGCUGACGAGCUCUGAUAUAGAGCGAAACAACCAUAAAUUUAAGAGCCCAUUAUCAAUGAAAUAUGACACAUAAUAUCUUAAAUGGAAUGUUUUAUUAAAUUAUUAUGAUAUAUGUAUAGGGUGUCCCAAAAAACUAAACACUUUGAAAUUGGAAAAUUAGCAUUUAGGUUGAUGCUAAUCAUGCACAUGGACAAUUACAACAACUAAAUCAGCAUUACAAUGUAUGAAGACUAAAAUGAAAAAUUUACCCAGCUAUAUAUUUUAUUACCUUGCUGGCUCAGACCAAU
rnacentral:misc_RNA from 1 species